rnacentral:rRNA from 1 species
CCUACGGGUGGCAGCAGUGAGGAAUAUUGGUCAAUGGACGAGAGUCUGAACCAGUCAAGUAGCGUGAAGGAUGACUGCCCUAUGGGUUGUAAACUUCUUUUAUAUGGGAAUAAAAUGUUCCACGUGUGGGAUUUUGUAUGUACCAUAUGAAUAAGGAUCGGCUAACUCCGUUCCAGCAGCCGCGGUAAUACGGAGGAUCCGAGCGUUAUCCGGAUUUAUUGGGUUUAAAGGGAGCGUAGGUGGAUUGUUAAGUCAGUUGUGAAAGUUUGCGGCUCAACCGUAAAAUUGCAGUUGAAACUGGCAGUCUUGAGUACAGUAGAGGUGGGCGGAAUUCGUGGUGUAGCGGUGAAAUGCUUAGAUAUCACGAAGAACUCCGAUUGCGAAGGCAGUUCACUGGACUGCAACUGACACUGAGGCUCGAAAGUGUGGGUAUCAAACAGGAUUAGAUACCCCAGUAGUC